GCACUGCUGAGGAGUCCCACAACAGGACGAAAAGGACGUCCAGUGC
rnacentral:hammerhead_ribozyme from 1 species